rnacentral:rRNA from 1 species
CAAGCGGUGGAGCAUGUGGUUUAAUUCGAUGCAACGCGAAGAACCUUACCUGGUCUUGACAUCCACGGAAUUUUUCAGAGAUGAGAAUGUGCCUUCGGGAACCGUGAGACAGGUGCUGCAUGGCUGUCGUCAGCUCGUGUUGUGAAAUGUUGGGUUAAGUCCCGCAACGAGCGCAACCCUUAUCCUUUGUUGCCAGCGGUCCGGCCGGGAACUCAAAGGAGACUGCCAGUGAUAAACUGGAGGAAGGUGGGGAUGACGUCAAGUCAUCAUGGCCCUUACGACCAGGGCUACACACGUGCUACAAUGGCGCAUACAAAGAGAAGCGACCUCGCGAGAGCAAGCGGACCUCAUAAAGUGCGUCGUACUCCGGAUUGGAGUCUGCAACUCGACUCCAUGAAGUCGGAAUCGCUAGUAAUCGUGGAUCAGAAUGCCACGGUGAAUACGUUCCCGGGCCUUGUACACACC